GCUGGCGGCGUGCCUAACACAUGCAAGUCGUACGAGAAAUCCCGAGCUUGCUUGGGAGAGUAAAGUGGCGCACGGGUGAGUAACGCGUGGGUAACCCACCUUCGAAUCUGGGAUAACUCCGCGAAAGCGGUGCUAAUACCGGAUAAGACCACAGCCGCUUCGGCGGCAGAGGUUAAAGCUGACCUCUCCAUGGAAGUUAGCGUUCGAGGACGGGCCCGCGUCCUAUCAGCUUGUUGGUGGGGUAAUGGCCUACCAAGGCAGCGACGGGUAGCUGGUCUGAGAGGAUGAUCAGCCACACUGGAACUGGAACACGGUCCAGACUCCUACGGGAGGCAGCAGUGAGGAAUUUUGCGCAAUGGGGGAAACCCUGACGCA
rnacentral:rRNA from 1 species